CUCUAAGCAGCACUACAUGUUCCAUACAUUAGCAGUACUGCUGAAACAAUGGCACACUACAGACACAUAUUUUCAUUAAGGUCAUUUUCGAAGAGAUGUUUAUGACCCUCUUCCCCCAGUCCUCUACUAACAAGUGAACAAAAUGAAUCAAUCCAAACUGGAAAUGCUUCAACUACAUCAAGAAUUUAUCAAAUCUUUAGCAGAGGGCCGAUAGCAGCUAAUUCAGUAUUUACAACUGACAAUAUGAAGAAUGCAAUUGACUGAGCAUCUCCCUAGCUGUCUGAACUACGAACUGCAAGAUGUUCUUGUAACACGACUUUAAGACAUUAAGGAGUUAAAACCAGGGAAUAGGUCUACAUUACUGAUGGAAUAUAAAAAAUCAACUGUAUCCUAAGAAGAUGCUACAUAAAAUAACCACAAAAAGAAAAACAAUAUAACUGUAAAAGCCUGAAAAGAAUUUUUAAAAGGGGAAGUUUAUACUUUCAUAUACCAGAAUUGUGGAAGUUACUGAUUCUGGAAGACAUAAUGAAACAUUAAUUUCCAAAAAGAAAAGAAAAUACUUUAUCAGCACACAAAAGGAAGAUUUAGGAAGUGUUUUCAGCACUAAAUAUUCAGAUAUUCAUAUCAAUUGGUAUGACUAAUGGAUUUUUCUAUCUGACUUUUAUGACCAAUUAUGUAUCCUCUUCUAAUGAAAACAAACAAAAUUAAACAGCAGAUGGUUUUUAUCAAAAGGACAUGGCCUGGAUUUAUAAUAUAAAGCAAGUUAUGUGAUCAAGAAAUCAUUUCAAAAUAGUGAGCACUGCUAUUAAAAACAGAUUUACAAUGGUAACAAAAGGAUGUCUAAAUAUAUUUUAGAAGCUACAAACGUUAUGUUUCCUUUUUUGUUUUCACAUAUUCUGGAAAAUAAAGAAAUAUUAUCAUGUACUCCAUCAAAGGGAAACAUAAUUCCUAUCAUCUGAGGAAAUUCCUCUUGGCCGUGACUUUUUAAAGCAAAACAAAUACAAAUAUUAUGUACUGUUCUUUAGAAAUCCAUCAGCCAACUAAAUCUCAUAAUGCAUGCAGUUGAAGUAUUGGAGAGAAAACGAAAGAAUUCCUACAAGACAUGAAAUAAAACACAGCUACUUCACUGUUGUCAGGUAAAAAUUCAUGUCAAAAUCUGUCAAUGAUAUCAUGUAUCAAUUUGCCAAAAACUGUCAUAGUGAACCAAAAGGCCCAUAAGGCAACAGCAAACAGGUAGGUCAGAAGAUGCAUGCACCCCACCACACUGUUUAACAUUUACGAAAGAACAGAAUCUUGCUCUAGAGAAAAUGUAUUUUUCUUAAUCAUCAUUUAACUUGACAUUUCUGCUUUAUUUAAUUAUAAAUCUAACUGAUGUGACAAAGACCUGAUGUUUAAUCUGUCAGUUCAGAAAAUUUGGCAUACUUAAAAUUUUCCAUUUUUAUAGGAUUUCAAUGUUAGCUAAGACCUUAACUUACUUGAAUAAAUAUACCUCUAGUAAUACUUCAUACUAAUUCAAAAGAAAUAAUGUUACCAUUUGUGUUUCUGCAAUAUUAUUCCCAAAAAAAGUGCAUAAAUAAAACUGUAUUCUAAAACUUGUCAAAUAUAACAUCAAGUGAAAGUUAACAUGAAUUUUGAAAAUUAUUAGCUUUUAUAAUUUAUGUUGAAUAUGAUUUUGCAGUUGAAAUGCUGUAUUUGAAAUGUGAAAUAUAGUUGGUUGUAUGAGUUCAUAUUUUAAAAUGAAUAUACUGAUUAACUGACAUUUUAGCCCAGAACAUUAGACAUUAUUUUUUACAAAUUAUUCUAAACCCCUAUAUAUUAAAAUAUAGAUUUGCAUGAAUUAGCAAAA
rnacentral:sRNA from 1 species